rnacentral:rRNA from 1 species
UACGAAGGGGGCUAGCGUUGCUCGGAAUCACUGGGCGUAAAGCGCACGUAGGCGGAUUGCUAAGUCAGGGGUGAAAUCCUGGAGCUCAACUCCAGAACUGCCUUUGAUACUGGCGACCUUGAGUCCGGGAGAGGUGAGUGGAACUGCGAGUGUAGAGGUGAAAUUCGUAGAUAUUCGGAAGAACACCAGUGGCGAAGGCGACUUACUGGACAACUGUUGACGCUGAGGUGCGAAAGCGUGGGGAGCAAACAGG